GAGUUUGAUCGUGGCUCAGGAUGAACGCUGGCGGCGUGCCUAAUACAUGCAAGUCGUACGAACAGCGGAAAGUGCUUGCACUUUCCAAGUAAGUGGCGAACGGGUGAGUAACACGUGAAUAACCUACCUCAAAGUCUGGGAUAACCAUUGGAAACAGUGACUAAUACCGGAUAAAACCUAGUAGCACAUGCUACAAGGUUAAAAGCUGCGUUUGCAGCGCUUUAAGAUGGAUUCGCGGUGCAUUA
rnacentral:rRNA from 1 species